rnacentral:lncRNA from 1 species
CAAUUAUCAAUUUUAAAAGAUUUUGGGCGAAAACAUAUUCACUCACGCACACUGCACACAAGACUUGUCUCUCUCUCCCCUCCAUCUCUCUGUAAUAAGUCAAAACUCUCUGACUAACCGAUGAAGAUGUCUUCCAGAUCGCCGGUGUAGAUGCCGAAUGAACAAACUAGGAGAACAGGGAAGAAGACUGCAUCACAAAUUCGGCCACCGAAGUUUUUUCUCUCUGUCUUGCACUCGAUAUAGUCUAUGUGAUGAUGUCCUUCAAAUCACUUGUGAAGAUCGCGAACGAGCAAAUCUAGGAGAACGUGGAAGACGACGGCGUCAGAAAUUUAGUCGACGUAGUUGCAGAAUUCAGGUGAAGAACUUCGAAUCUAAAUUCCAUUUUUAUUUUAAUUUUAAUAUUUAAGGUUUAGGGCAAUACAGUGACCUGAAUGGAGAUCUGUUGAAAUAUGAAGAACCUGAGGUUUUUAUAUCUGAGAAAUUGGAUUUUCUUGUAUGCCCAAUUCUCAUUCUAGAAAUUGAAGAAUUUAUUUCAAGGUUGUGUCUGCACAAUCUGCGUAUGUUAUGUCUAAUUUACAGUUAAUUGAUGGGGUUGUUAUGUGAAGUCCGAUUUACAAUUAAAUUGAUGGAGUUGUUGAUGGUGAAAUGCAUGCGUUGAGAAAGAUACCGUGUUUUUUUCCCAUAUCAUUACAGUUCAGCUUGUAGAGUGGAAAAAUUGCAACGUUAUUCAUCCUGUCAAUUUAUGAUGAACCAGUAGUUUUUUUGUGAAUGAAUCAGUAUUGUUGAUGGCUAGGAGGAACACAGGAAUUUGUCAUUCUUGCUGGGGGCAGAACACAUGAUGCCAGAAUGCUCCAAAAAGAAGAGAUGCCCAAACUGUGGAGAUGGGUUCGUUAGAUGGUUGGAGGUAGAAAAAAAUUCCAAGAAUCAAGGAAAGUUGUUCCAUUCCUGUACUCACGACUGUGGGUUCUUCAAGUUUUGUAACGUUUCGCCCGAUGAAGAGUAUCCAUUGCAAGGCGAAUCAAGUGGCACAACCGAAGGAAGUGAAUCGGUCCCUGAGUUGUCCCGUAUGUUUGAAAGUAUGUGCAAAAAUAACCAUGGAGUGAGAUGUGGAGAUUCGCGAAAUAUAACCAUGCGCAAGGAUAAACGUGUUUCAAAUUAUUUAAUCUGAAGUCCAUGUAAUUAGAUGAUUUCAACUUCUUUAGCUUUAAGUUUGUUUUACAUGUAUUUGGAUGAUUUUGACUUCGUUGGGUUUAAGUCUGAUUUACCUGUAUUUGGAUGAUUUUGACUUCAACAUCUAAUUGCCGCUUAUUGAUCCCAUAACUAUUGGCUUUGAAUUGGUUAGUGACAAUUGUUGUCUCUUGCGUAUAUUUGAAUGAAGCAAAGUUGUUGUGUACUUGUGAGUUGGCU